rnacentral:snoRNA from 1 species
CGACGUCGGUUCCUCCUCCUGUCGGCAGCCAGUCAGGAGGAUUUUACGACCUCGCAGAGAGAUCGGGGUCUUUUUCACCCAGGAAGCUUCCGGCUGCUGCAGCCAAUCGGCAAACGGCUUCCUGGUUUUGCGAGACCCGACAGAU